rnacentral:rRNA from 1 species
UACGAAGGGUGCAAGCGUUAAUCGGAAUUACUGGGCGUAAGGCGCGCGUAGGUGGUUCGUUAAGUUAGGAGUGAAAGCCCCGGGCUCAACCUGGGAAUUGCUUCUAAAACUGGCGAGCUAGAGUAUGGUAGAGGGUGGUGGAAUUUCCUGUGUAGCGGUGAAAUGCGUAGAUAUAGGAAGGAACAUCAGUGGCGAAGGCGACCACCUGGACUGAUACUGACACUGAGGUGCGAAAGCGUGGGGAGCAAACAGGAUUAGAUACCCCGGUAGUCCCUGAG